GAAUGAAAUAUACGUUUACUAUAAUCUAUCCUUACAAAAACAAAAAAUGCCAUUGAAGUUUUUGGUAGUUUUGUACGAAAAAUAGGUAGAGAAUUAUGUAGAUACAUUGGCAUUUAAAAUAAUGGACCUUAAAAGAAGGCAUGAGUUCACCUUCUGUCCAUCUGCAUAGGAUAGUUUGCAUAGCUAUCAUAACAUACCGAUACAUUAUUGUCUACCCCUAGCUUUAAAAAUUCAGGGCUUAAAAAUCAUGAGGUGGGAUUAACAUCAUUGUAUUUAAAAUAAACUAAUUUUGGAAUUUUUAAUCUUCCUUUGGGUUUAAAGAUUCCAAGAGCUGAGACUUUAAGAAAAGUCCCAAAUAUCACAUUAUACUUGCAAUAAAAUAUGAAGAGUUAGUAACCCUGAAGACAGAAAAAUAUUCCAUACUAGUAAUAUAGGGGGAAAAGUGACAUUUUAAAAGUUGUGAAAUGCUGAGUUUGUCACAAGUACCUUUAUUGCAUCCAAUAUUAGGUAUUCUAAAAGAACAGUGAAGCUUCCUGUCAUCUGUUGAUUUAACUGAGCUUAACAUCCAAUGAAUAAAUUGUAUAUAGUUUCUCAGCUCAUGGGGUAUACGGUGCCCAAGCAUCAAAUAACAAGCUACGCCUUCUACUGUGAAAGGUUUAUAGCUGAGCAACUGCAGGAACACUGCUGAGGAACAGCUGAAAUAAAAUAUUUAAUGGAAACAUAAAUGAAAUGACCAGAUAUUGUUUGAGAAUCCAAGAGCAUAAAUAAGUGUCAUGCCUAUCUUCUGAAUUCUCAGCAAAAAUCACAAUCUAUUAUAUUUAGAAAGAACUCUGGAGCUGAUUCCUGUAGCCCUUGUUCUGUGAAUAGUUUCAUAGAUGAAAAUGAGACAACUCACCGAUUACCUUUCCACAUAAUAAAAGGGUGGCUCAGGCUGACCCUACAUAGUCAGUGUAUCGCCAGAGGUUGACUUUUAUGUUUGAGGGGGGCUAUAACUAGCACUGGAUUGUGCCAGAGGCAUAUUAUACCAGUCAUGUUAAGGUAAAUUUGUGAUAGUUAAACAGUGUUAAGAGGGAAGAGCCCCUAAAUCCCUUCACUCUCCCCUUCCUGGUCCAGAAACAGGUCUAAAUGUGCAAAAUGUUGGAGAAACCCAUCAUCAAAAAGACAAUCCUAGCACGCAAAAUGUUUUAAUCUGUGUAAAUAUGUAUGUGAAUGCAUGUAUACUUAUCCUCUUUCAUGCUUGAAAUUAUGGUACUGUGCAAAAAAUAAUGUGACUCUGAGACUUGUUUUACAUAAUUUUUUCAGCACCCCCCCGCCCGAGCUUUUUAGUUUCAAUAGCUGCUUUUUUGUCAUUAGUUUCUAAACCCGUUGUAAGCGAGGAUUUAACAAUAGCAAAAGGCCAUGUGAAUAUGCAUCCAUCAGGAUAUCUUCAAAAGUUGCAUCCAUUCUUCCUUUUUGGCAUUCUUUCAGUGCUCCCUGUCUAGAGCUAGUCUCUGCUCAGAUACAGUUGCUCCAGCCCAUGACAGCUGCUUAGCAAUUUUAAAUGACAGCACCAUGAAAAUAGAAGGCAGAACCAGACCAGAAAGCUCUUACCAUCAACAGUAGUUUGUGCAGGCCUGUGGGACUCAGGAAACUUCUGAGUUUAGAAAAACAGUUGCAGCACCUAAACAAGGUUAUGGAAUGGAGCUUCAAAAAGUCACAUAAAGUAAGAGGAUAUAAGUAUCCUACCACUGCACCUUAAAGCUGUAUCAUUCCAUUCUGAGAGGGAAACCAGUAGGCCAAACUCAUAAAAAUCAGAGAUGGUUUGUGAAAAUGAGUUAUAAAGAUCCCGAGAGCCAUAAAUAUUAAAGCCCUUAAUGAGGGAUAAUACUGGAUUGAAGAGGGCCAACGAGAUUUAUUGAUACAAACUCAGAGAGAUCACUGUAAAUCAGGACAGUGGAGAAGAUCAGAAUCAGAGUGCUCUGUGGCAAAGAUUCAGCCUGUGGAGGGCACAGAGAGAGGAAAAAAGAGUCCAACAGCAAGAAGGGCUGGCUAUCCAACUACACAAUAGUUGUAGAGAAUUGAAGACCAUCCUCUCAAGGAGCUGAGAGAAUGAAAGCAGGGAGAGCACCAAUAUUUUAUCAAAAAUGACACCCUGAUGCAUCAGUGAACUGAAGAUGUGUGGUUAAAUAUUGAAAAGAAAGAAUAUCUAACAGCUCUCUUAGAACUUAGUGCUUACUCACGAAAAUGUGGAAAAGAAAAAAACAAGUGUUAAUUGCAAGGAAGCGUGAAAUGACCACAAAGAGAAUCUGCACGUCUCAAGGGCCUUUCCCUCAACUAGCAUUCACUAGGAGAUAUUCUGUUACGAACAAAGAAAAGCCACUUAAUUCCAUUAAGCCUUUAUGUGCUGCAUAAAAAAAGACAGCUACUGAGAAUCCAUUACAACAUAACCAUUUUGUGUUUUAUGUGAUAUUUAAUACAUAAUCAUAAUGACUCCAUGGGCAUCAGAAAGAUAUGUAUAUUGUAUAUGACAUUUAAUUCUAGUGUUUAACUUGAUUUGCAUAACUAGUAACUUAUAUUAAUUCUUACAUUUUCUUAAUAGAUCCACACUAAAGUGGGAAUAGAAACUAGGGCUGUGGGAGUUGGUUAUGCCAGAAUAUAGCUUUUCAUGUCAAUUUAGCAGUCCAGAUUCUGUUAAUAUCAUUAAUGACCAAGAACCUGAUAGCUGAUGGCUGUUCUAUAGCUUAUCUGACAUGAACUGCUGAUUUUAAUCCAGUUUCUUGCAGUCUGAUAUAGUCAUCAUGUAAACUAAUGGUGCCCUCAAUUUUCACCCUUAUUAUGAAUCAGUCUUAGAAUUGUGAGCUGGCAUGGAAUGGCAAACUCUUUUGAAUCCUAAAAUUUCUCUCUCCUCAGAGUUUAAUUUGCAUAGUCAUUUUCCUUAGGGUGGGAAGGUGAGAUGAUAAAGCUGGUUCUUAAUGUUAUUUCACUGUGACUUAGAAAACCGUUUUUCUGAUUUUUCAUCAACUUCUUAUAUGAUGUUGGGUAAAUCACCUAGUCAUUCUGUGCCUCAGCUCUUGGUCUGUAAAACUGGGACAAUGGCAUUUCUGCAUUUAUACAGGUGUUCAGAGGCGUCAGAUAGUAAGUUAAUGGAAGCCCUGGGAACACCUAAGGUAGACAGACAAGUAGACUGAUCCAUUCUGUAGACAAACAGAGAAUAAUCUUCACUGCCAAUUUUGUCCUAUCCAUCCAGAACAGUAUACUAAUUUAAAAGCCAAUAAAGAAAACGGACAACAAAGGUAGUUGGUUCUGUUUAGCUGGUAUGAAAGCUUUGAUUUGAAUAUUCUUGUUCAUGAUUUAUAAUCUCUUAAUAACUAAACAUUGAGAAACCAGGAUGCACUUGUCCUGUAUCACAAGAUACAAGGACUUUAUGAUUAUAUUUCUUUUGAUACAGUAUAACACUGUGAACAUUACAGAAGCCAUUUAUAAAAAAAAAAAAGCUAGUAAAGAACAGUAGACCAAACAGUAGCCAUCAUAAGGAGUGUGUGUGUUUGGGCGCGUGCGCACAUACCUACCCAAAUUUCAGUUUCUUAUAUUUAGUAUAAAUUAUUCUAGGGGAGAAGCAGAAACGAGAAUUAGUACAAGCUCUGUCUCAACAACAGACGUGUUGUAAUCAUAUGUUUCCACUAUGGUGACGUACUAGGAAAAGAGAAAGUUAGGAACUCAGCAUUGAUCUGCCAGCAGAGGUUGCUCUUAUAUUAACGAUUAACCUAGGAGCUUAUAACCAGUUAAAAAUAUGAAGAAAUUAAACAAGAUUGUUUUAAUGAUUAAAUGGUCUAAAUGCUGGAAUUUCAUAAAAUAAUUUUUAUCAUGUCAGGUAUGUGGUAAUUUCUGAGAGCUACAUUCUGCCACACUUCGUCUGGUGUAGCAGAACAGUUUUAUCUUCAGGCAGCUCUAUUGAUUUCAAUUAAACACCUUGAGUAGGAAUAUGUUGUUCAUUGCAAAUAAGUAUAUACGAAUUUGGCAUUAGUUACCAAAAAUGAUGUUUUUUCCCCCCAUUUAUUAAUUUCCUUGAAUGUAAAGUGACAUCCCUGAAAUGAAAGCAGUUUAUUGCUUGCUAGGAGCAAACCUGUGCUAAUUUAAGAAAAUCAGAAUUAAAGUUUUUGAAGCAUAUCCAGGCAUGUUUAUAAGGCCUGUAUCAUUCCAAACAGUAGCUUUCCUAAAUAUUCUCCUUCUAAUUUGCCACCAUCCUAAAAUGUUCAACUGACUUAAUAUUAGGUCAUGUGAUUUUAGGUCUCCAACUUCCACCUUAAAUUCUAAGCAAACCACAAACAACUGCAAUGUAUUUAGUCUGAAAACUUCUUAGAGCGCUCAUUACUCAUAACCAAUAGUAAGUAAAGGAGUGAAAUGACCUGGACAAUGGAACAUUUAAAUCUUUGCACAAGAUGCUCUGCUGGUGCUGGAGUGAUUUCACAAAUAACAGCUGUGGAGUUUGUUAACAUAUGAAUCCCCUUGAGAUAAUUUGGAGAAACCAAAUGUGCUAAACUAAACACCUCAUUAAAGCAGUACUUAGAAAAAAGCACAACUAAUUUCAAAUUCCACUUAAAAAAUUUAAGAUGUAGUAAGAGAUAUUCAGUAAUAUAGAAUGCAUUUAUCUGUAUUGUUGGAAACCACCUUUUGAAACAUCUGUAACAUUAUGACUUUUAUGCUAAAAUGCACUUGAGACUGAAGUGAUUUUGAAGUGCAUUCUUUUACAAAAACCAAUUAAAUGAAGGUAAUAAUGUUCUUCACCCUAAACUCAUGACUGAACUAAAUGCACCAGCCCCAAGACUGUCAUCAGGUAUACAGGUCACAGCUUCUAUUGAAUUUUGUGGUUUGAUGAACCAAAACAGAAGCUCAUGGAAGUCAAUGGAAAUUUUUCUCUUCCUUCAAUGGGCUUUGGACCAGGCCCAAUGGGGGCUGUGCUGACGUGUUUGGGGGACAGUUUAGGCCCACAGUGGGAAGCUGUAAUGUAGAAACACUGAAUAAAGGAUAAGGAAGGUCUCUAUACUAAUUCCACAGGAAGACACCUUUCUUCUGCUUUAAGUUAACCCAUGUUACUGGGUAACUGGGUGACGAUUUAUGGCUAUUUUAUAUAGAAGAUGAGUCUAGAGGUACAUACAGAUGUUGAGGAAGGUUAUGGGGAGGUUAGAUCACAUUAGAAGUGGCCACCUGAUCUAACUUUGU